rnacentral:rRNA from 1 species
GAUGAACGCUGGCGGCGUGCCUAAUACAUGCAAGUCGAGCGAACAGACGGGGAGCUUGCCCCUCUGCCGUUAGCGACGGACGGGUGAGUCCUACGUGGCUACCCUACCUAUAAGACUGAGAUCACUUCGCGAACGCGGAUCUCAUACCGGAUAAUAUAUUGAACCGCAUGGUUCAAUAGUGAACGACGUAUUUGCUGUCACUUAUAGAUGGAUCCGGGCCGCAUUAGUUAGUGGGUAGGGUAACGGCUUACCAAGGCAGCGAUGCGUAGCUGACCUGAGAGGGUGAUCGGCACCACGGGAACGGGGACACGGCCCAGACUCCUACGGGAGGCACCGUUGGGAAAUCUUCCGCAAGGGGCGAAGGCCUGACGGGCCAACGCGGCGUGAGGGAGGAGGGUCUUCGGAUCGUAAAACUUUGUUGUUAGGGGAGAGGAAAUGUGUAUGUAACUAUGCACGUCUGAACGGUACCUAAGCAGAAGGCCCGGCCAAACUACUG